CAAGCUGCAAGAAUUGGUACUCCGUAUCUACUGUCGUUUGUUGGAUUGGCUGAAGUA
rnacentral:sRNA from 1 species